AUGCAGUCGACGACCUUCGGGUUAGUGGCGGACGGGUGAGUAACGCGUGAGAAUCUGCCCUCAGGAGGGGGAUAACAGUUGGAAACGACUGCUAAUACCCCAUAUGCCGAGAGGUGAAACGAAUUUUGCCUGGGGAUGAGCUCGCGUCUGAUUAGCUUGUUGGUGGGGUAAAAGCCUACCAAGGCUUCGAUCAGUAGCUGGUCUGAGAGGACGAUCAGCCACACUGGGACUGAGAUACGGCCCAGACUCCUACGGGAGGCAGCAGUGGGGAAUUUUCCGCAAUGGGCGCAAGCCUGACGGAGCAACGCCGCGUGAGGGAUGAAGGCCUUUGGGCUGUAAACCUCUUUUCUCAAGGAAGAAGAUCUGACGGUACUUGAGGAAUAAGCCACGGCUAAUUCCGUGCCAGCAGCCGCGGUAAUACGGGAGUGGCAAGCGUUAUCCGGAAUUAUUGGGCGUAAAGCGUCCGCAGGCGGCCGUUUAAGUCUGUUGUUAAAUCGUGGAGCUCAACUCCAUCACGGCAAUGGAAACUGUUCGGCUUGAGUAUGGUAGGGGCAGAGGGAAUUUCCGGUGUAGCGGUGAAAUGCGUAGAUAUCGGGAAGAACACCAGUGGCAAAAGCGCUCUGCUGGGCCAUUACUGACGCUCAUGGACGAAAGCCAGGGGAGCGAAAGGGAUUAGAUACCCCUGUAGUCCUGGCCGUAAACGAUGAACACUAGAUGUUGGGGGAAUCGACCCCUCCGGUGUCGUAGCUAACGCGUUAAGUGUUCCGCCUGGGGAGUACGCACGCAAGUGUGAAACUCAAGGAAUUGACGGGCCGCACAGCGGUGGAGUAUGUGGUUUAAUU
rnacentral:rRNA from 1 species